rnacentral:rRNA from 1 species
GUGGCGACGGGUGAGUAACACGUGGGCAAUCUGCCCUUCACUCUGGGACAAGCCCUGGAAACGGGGUCUAAUACCGGAUAACACUCCUGCCUGCAUGGGCGGGGGUUAAAAGCUCCGGCGGUGAAGGAUGAGCCCGCGGCCUAUCAGCUUGUUGGUGGGGUAAUGGCCUACCAAGGCGACGACGGGUAGCCGGCCUGAGAGGGCGACCGGCCACACUGGGACUGAGACACGGCCCAGACUCCUACGGGAGGCAGCAGUGGGGAAUAUUGCACAAUGGGCGAAAGCCUGAUGCAGCGACGCCGCGUGAGGGAUGACGGCCUUCGGGUUGUAAACCUCUUUCAGCAGGGAAGAAGCGAGAGUGACGGUACCUGCAGAAGAAGCGCCGGCUAACUACGUGCCAGCAGCCGCGGUAAUACGUAGGGCGCAAGCGUUGUCCGGAAUUAUUGGGCGUAAAGAGCUCGUAGGCGGCUUGUCACGUCGGAUGUGAAAGCCCGGGGCUUAACCCCGGGUCUGCAUUCGAUACGGGCUAGCUAGAGUGUGGUAGGGGAGAUCGGAAUUCCUGGUGUAGCGGUGAAAUGCGCAGAUAUCAGGAGGAACACCGGUGGCGAAGGCGGAUCUCUGGGCCAUUACUGACGCUGAGGAGCGAAAGCGUGGGGAGCGAACAGGAUUAGAUACCCUGGUAGUCCACGCCGUAAACGUUGGGAACUAGGUGUUGGCGACAUUCCACGUCGUCGGUGCCGCAGCUAACGCAUUAAGUUCCCCGCCUGGGGAGUACGGCCGCAAGGCUAAACUCAAGGAAUUGACGGGGGCCCGCACAAGCAGCGGGAGCAUGUG